CACGUAGGGGGCGAGCGUUGUCCGGAUUUAUUGGGCGUAAAGAGCUCGUAGGCGGCUUAGUAAGUCAGGUGUGAAAACUCCAGGCUCAACCUGGAGACGCCACUUGAUACUGCUGUGGCUAGAGUCCGGUAGGGGAGCAUGGAAUUCCUGGUGUAGCGGUGAAAUGCGCAGAUAUCAGGAGGAACACCAGUGGCGAAGGCGGUGCUCUGGGCCGGAACUGACGCUGAGGAGCGAAAGCGUGGGGAGCAAACAGG
rnacentral:rRNA from 1 species